GUGGUCAUUUUUCUUCUUGUGGCCUCUGGAAUGUGACACAGAACUCAAGGGACAGGAAGGAGAUGAGUUGGAGGCUGGGACAGGGGUCCCUGCCAGGGAUGCUGGUGACUCACGUGACGGUGUUGAUGUGUGGAGUCCGGUGCCUGGUUUGGGGAAUGUUCGUGGGAUAUGUUCCAAAGGACUGACGGACCUAUCAGGUACUGGAGGUGAAUGGUCAAGUCUGAUCUCAG
rnacentral:lncRNA from 1 species